UACAGAGGGUGCAAGCGUUAAUCGGAAUUAUUGGGCGUAAAGGGUGCGUAGGUGGUUUGAUAAGUUAGGUGUGAAAGUCCUGGGCUUAACCUGGGGAUUGCAUUUAAUACUGUUAGACUUGAGUACUGUAGAGGAAGGUGGAAUUUCCGGUGUAGCGGUGAAAUGCGUAGAUAUCGGAAGGAACAUCAGUGGCGAAGGCGACUUUCUGGACAGAUACUGACACUGAGGCACGAAAGCGUGGGGAGCAAACAGG
rnacentral:rRNA from 1 species